GACGAACGCUGGCGGCGUGCUUAACACAUGCAAGUCGAACGAUGAACCCGGAGCGUGCGCUGGGGGAUUAGUGGCGAACGGGUGAGUAACGCGUGAGUAACCUGCCCUGGACGCUGGGAUAAGCGUUGGAAACGACGUCACAUACCGGAUAGGACUGUGGAACGCAUGAGCUGGGGUGGAAAGGUUGGUCGGUCUGGGACGGACUCGCGGCCUCUCAGCUUGUUGGUGAGGUAAUGGCUCACCAAGGCGUCGACGGGUAGCCGGCCUGAGGGGGUGGCCGGCCACACUGGGAGUGAGGCGCGGCCCCGCCGCCUCCGGGGGGCAGCAGUGGGGGAUAUUGCUCAAUGAGCGAAAGCCGGCUGAAGCAGCGCCGCGUGCGGGCUGACGGCCUUCGGGUUGUUGACCGCUUUUAGUAGGGAAGAAGGGCUUCGGCUUGACGGUACCUGCAGAAAAAGGACCGGCUAACUACGUG
rnacentral:rRNA from 1 species